rnacentral:rRNA from 1 species
AUUGAACGCUGGCGGCAGGCCUAACACAUGCAAGUCGAGCGAGCGGCGGACGGGUGAGUAAUGUCUGGGAAACUGCCUGAUGGAGGGGGAUAACUACUGGAAACGGUAGCUAAUACCCCGUACCAUCACAUGUGCCCAGAUGGGAUUUGCUCGUAGGGGGGGUAACGGCGCACCUAGGCGACGCUCCCUAGCUGGUCUGAGAGGAUGACCAGCCACACUGGAACUGAGACACGGUCCAGACUCCUACGGGAGGCAGCAGUGGGGAAUAUUGCACAAUGGGCGCAAGCCUGAUACAGCCAUGCCGCGUGUGUGAAGAAGGCCUUCGGGUUGUAAAGCACUUUCAGCGGGGAGGCGUUACCCGCAGAAGAAGCACCGGCUAACUCCGUGCCAGCAGCCGCGGUAAUAC